AUUGAACGCUGGCGGCAUGCCUUACACAUGCAAGUCGAACGGCAGCACGGGAGCAAUCCUGGUGGCGAGUGGCGAACGGGUGAGUAAUAUAUCGGAACGUGCCCAGUCGUGGGGGAUAACGCAGCGAAAGCUGUGCUAAUACCGCAUACGAUCUACGGAUGAAAGCGGGGGAUCGCAAGACCUCGCGCGAUUGGAGCGGCCGAUAUCAGAUUAGGUUGUUGGUGGGGUAAAAGCCCACCAAGCCGACGAUCUGUAGCUGGUCUGAGAGGACGACCAGCCACACUGGAACUGAGACACGGUCCAGACUCCUACGGGAGGCAGCAGUGGGGAAUUUUGGACAAUGGGCGCAAGCCUGAUCCAGCAAUGCCGCGUGCAGGAUGAAGGCCUUCGGGUUGUAAACUGCUUUUGUACGGAACGAAACGGUCUGCUCUAAUACAGCGGGCUAAUGACGGUACCGUAAGAAUAAGCACCGGCUAACUACGUGCCAGCAGCCGCGGUAAUACGUAGGGUGCGAGCGUUAAUCGGAAUUACUGGGCGUAAAGCGUGCGCAGGCGGUUAUAUAAGACAGAUGUGAAAUCCCCGGGCUCAACCUGGGACCUGCAUUUGUGACUGUAUAGCUAGAGUGCGGCAGAGGGGGAUGGAAUUCCGCGUGUAGCAGUGAAAUGCGUAGAUAUGCGGAGGAACACCGAUGGCGAAGGCAA
rnacentral:rRNA from 1 species